ACUUCCCAGUGAGGCCAUGCCAAGUCUUGAUCUUACUGCUCAGUUAGAAGCAAUGAGGGGAGGUAUGAGCAGAUCCAGAGGAAGACAACACAACCAUCUGGCGAAGCCUACAGAGAAACCAUUUUGAACACAAAAUAUCUCAGAAAAUAUGGGCUUCCUGAUAAUUCUACUCCUGCAGGAUGUGUUUCAUUUAAACAAAAGGUGACUGGGAAAACCAUAACAGACAGAGACAGAUUGAUGCUUUCCCCAGAUAUUCGUGCUUGCCAAGCCUGUUCAGAAAAGUGCUUAAGCAUUCCUGGACUCUUGGUUGAACAGGGCGCG